AUGCAAGUCGAACGGCAGCAUGAUCUAGCUUGCUAGAUUGAUGGCGAGUGGCGAACGGGUGAGUAAUACAUCGGAACGUGCCCUGUAGUGGGGGAUAACUAGUCGAAAGAUUAGCUAAUACCGCAUACGACCUGAGGGUGAAAGUGGGGGACCGCAAGGCCUCAUGCUAUAGGAGCGGCCGAUGUCUGAUUAGCUAGUUGGUGAGGUAAAGGCUCACCAAGGCGACGAUCAGUAGCUGGUCUGAGAGGACGAUCAGCCACACUGGGACUGAGACACGGCCCAGACUCCUACGGGAGGCAGCAGUGGGGAAUUUUGGACAAUGGGGGCAACCCUGAUCCAGCAAUGCCGCGUGUGUGAAGAAGGCCUUCGGGUUGUAAAGCACUUUUGUCCGGAAAGAAAUCGCACUUACUAAUAUUAGGUGUGGAUGACGGUACCGGAAGAAUAAGGACCGGCUAACUACGUGCCAGCAGCCGCGGUAAUACGUAGGGUCCAAGCGUUAAUCGGAAUUACUGGGCGUAAAGCGUGCGCAGGCGGUUGUGCAAGACCGAUGUGAAAUCCCCGGGCUUAACCUGGGAAUUGCAUUGGUGACUGCACGGCUAGAGUGUGUCAGAGGGGGGUAGAAUUCCACGUGUAGCAGUGAAAUGCGUAGAGAUGUGGAGGAAUACCGAUGGCGAAGCAGCCCCCUGGGAUACACUGACGCUCAUGCACGAAAGCGUGGGGNAGCAAACAGGAUNAGAUACCCUGGUAGUCCACGCCCUAAACGAUGUCAACUAGUUGUUGGGGAUUCAUUUCCUUAGUAGCGUAGCUAACGCGUGAAGUUGACCGCCUGGGGAGUACGGUCGCAAGAUUAAAACUCAAAGGAAUUGACGGGGACCCGCACAAGCGGUGGAUGAUGUGGAUUAAUUCGAUGCAACGCGAAAAACCUUACCUACCCUUGACAUGCCACUAACGAAGCAGAGAUGCAUUAGGUGCUCGAAAGAGAAAGUGGACACAGGUGCUGCAUGGCUGUCGUCAGCUCGUGUCGUGAGAUGUUGGGUUAAGUCCCGCAACGAGCGCAACCCUUGUCUCUAGUUGCUACGAAAGGGCACUCUAGAGAGACUGCCGGUGACAAACCGGAGGAAGGUGGGGAUGACGUCAAGUCCUCAUGGCCCUUAUGGGUAGGGCUUCACGCGUCAUACAAUGGUGCAUACAGAGGGUUGCCAAGCCGCGAGGUGGAGCUAAUCCCAGAAAAUGCAUCGUAGUCCGGAUCGUAGUCUGCAACUCGACUACGUGAAGCUGGAAUCGCUAGUAAUCGCGGAUCAGCAUGCCGCGGUGAAUACGUUCCCGGGUCUUGUACACACCGCCCGUCACACCAUGGGAGUGGGUUUUGCCAGAAGUAGUUAGCCUAACCGCAAGGGGGGCGAUUACCACGGCAGGGUUCAUGACUGGGGUGAAGUCGUAA
rnacentral:rRNA from 1 species